UUUUCCAGUAGAGAUCGUUGUGAGAUUUCAGGCCGGGAGGAUGGCCGCUUGAGUGUAUUUCUCAUUGACCACUGUUUUAUCGUGUUUGUUUGGAUACUUGAGUAUAACUCAUGCUAUUCAAAGACGAACCACAGUGGAUGGUUACUGUCCGGCAAAGCUGACGGUUGUGCCAUCCCAUCGAGGAUGUACUUCUGAUGAAGACUGCCCUGGAGGACACAAAUGCUGUAGAUUUGACUGUGGUCCUGUUUGUGUGCUGCCUGUUUUCAAGAAGCCAGGGCAAUGUCCCAUACCGGAGAUGAUUCCACUGUGUGCUGAAAGCUGUUUCAUGAUGGCCAGUGUCCUGCCACACAGAAAUGUUGCCCAACCACUGGUGGCUUUACAUGCAGUGAACCACGUGGUCAGGGAAGCGGUCGGGCAAGUUGUCAAGGAAGGGGCCAGGCAAGCGGCAUUGGCCAGGGCAGCGUCAAGGGAGGCGGCAUUGGCCA